rnacentral:rRNA from 1 species
CUUUACUGUAGCUUUGUAUGGGACUUUGAAUAGACUUGUGUAGGAUAGGUGGGAGGCUUUGAAGAGCGGAUGCUAGUUCGCUUGGAGCCAACGUUGAAAUACCACCCUGGUGUGUUUGAGGUUCUAACCUAGAUCCAUUAUCUGGAUCGGGGACAGUGCAUGGUAGGCAGUUUGACUGGGGCGGCCUCCUCCCAAAGUGUAACGGAGGAGUUCGAAGGUACGCUAGUUACGGUCGGACAUCGUGACGAUAGUGCAAUGGCAUAAGCGUGCUUAACUGCGAGACUGACAAGUCAAGCAGAUGCGAAAGCAGGACAUAGUGAUCCGGUGGUUCUGUAUGGAAGGGCCAUCGCUCAACGGAUAAAAGGUA